AGCGAACGCUGGCGGCAGGCCUAACACAUGCAAGUCGAACGAACCUUUCGGGGUUAGUGGCGGACGGGUGAGUAACACGUGGGAACGUGCCUUUAGGUUCGGAAUAACUCAGGGAAACUUGUGCUAAUACCGAAUGUGCUCUUCGGGGGAAAGAUUUAUCGCCUGUAGAGCGGCCCGCGUCUGAUUAGCUAGUUGGUUGAGGUAAUGGCGCACCAAGGCGACGAUCAGUAGCUGGUCUGAGAGGAUGAGCAGCCACAUUGGGACUGAGGCACGGCCCAAACUCCUACGGGAGGCAGCAGUGGGGAAUCUUGCGCAAUGGGCGAAAGCCUGACGCAGCCAUGCCGCGUGAAUGAUGAAGGUCUUAGGAUUGUAAAAUUCUUUCACCGGGGACGAUAAUGACGGUACCCGGAGAAGAAGCCCCGGCUAACUUCGUG
rnacentral:rRNA from 1 species